GGGGCAGUACCUUUAUUUCCUCUAAAACAGACUUCCUGACAGUGGGUCAUAUUUUUUCUACAUUGUCAGAUAGCAUAACUCUAAAACCAUUAUUCCCAUCAUUACAAUAUAUUUAAUGUUUACAACUUGAUUUUAUGUUGAACAUUUCCUGAAUCAUUUACUGUUUGAAAUUUUUUCACUAGUAUAUUCCUUCAGGAAGCACUGAAACAAUAAUCCUUAAAUUGUUUUGUGACUGAACCUUUUGGUAGACCACGUUGACCAGGAACUUACUAUUUAAUAGAGGAUGACCUUGAACUCUGAUCCAUCUACCUCAGGCUCCUAAGUGCUAAGAUUAUAGGCAUGCCACCAUACAUAGCAAUGUCCUCAAGUUCUUAAAGGACAGUCUGGUGAUAUGAAUAAUUGCAUUUCAUUUAAUAGUUUUUUAAACUGUUGCUUUAUUAUCUAGAAUGAAAUGUAGCUGCCCAAAACAUCAAAUCCAUGUGCUAUUUUUCCAAUCCACUUGAGCUUUUUUUUUUUUUCCAUGAUUUUAAAAUCCAACCAUUUUUACAAUACUACAUCUCAGUAUUAAGUGCUCUGGGCUGAGUUCCAGAUCUUGGGGUGCCUUUCAGCAGAGCCAGCCUUUAUCCUUCUUUAGUGUUGAGUGUUCAGGAACUGUAGCUUGACAGUUGUUGUAGUUCAAUGCUUUACUUUACAGGGUUUAUUAUGACAAAAUGAGCACAAAGUUUACCAUUUAGGCCAUUUUUAAGCUUUCAAUCUACUGGCAUUAAGUACAAUGUUAUACAACCACCAUUGAACUUCAGUUCACAUGAGAAAAACUAUUUGGCUGCCUCUCCUGUCUUUUUUUUUUUUUUAAGAAUAUGUCCCUGACUUGUUUGGAACUCACAGAGAGAUCCGCCUGCCUCUGCCUCCAGGCUUUGGGAUUAAAGGUCUGCACUACCAUGCCGCAAGCUUUUAAAAAGAUAUUGAGUUCUUAUUUCUCCUUUUUCUCUUAUUGUGCCAUCUGUGGUUCGUAUUUUCCAUUUUCUAAUUUGUCACUAAAAAUGCCUCCUUUUCUCAAACACUCCAUGAGUUCCAUCAGCCCUCACUUGUUAUUCUGGUAAGGUGUAGCUAUAUUACUUCUGAGAUCCCCUUUUUUCUGCUUUACUGUUUCUUUAAAAGAUUUAAACUUAAACGAGACAUAGUAGCUCACACGUGUAGUUCUAGCAUUAUGGAGAUAGCCAGGAGAAUCACAUCCAGCCAGCCUCAGCUACAAAACAUACAAAUCAGAGCACAACAACAAAAAAGAUUUCACCUUUACUACAAUUUCUCUGAGCUAAAAUACUUAAGAUUACCAUUUUAAUCUUCUUUGUGGCCACAUUUCUAAAGCAUCUUUUCACAAUGUAAUCUAAUGUAUGAAUUUUUAUUCUUAUGUGAUAAUUUUUAUAUAUUUACAUAUUUUUCUGGAUUAAAACAGAGGUCCCAAGUUAGUUUUGUUCAUAAGUUGGAGCUUUUGAAACUGUAUUGUCCAAUUGACCUGAGUUGAUUCCAGUUUUGGUGGUGGUGACAAACAAAAUUGUUGUAAGUAUCUAUAGAGAAGCAAAUACAGGUUCUCAUUUCUUCAUUAGAGAAAAGAAUCAUCAUUGGAAGAGAAAUGUAGAUUAAGUCCACUGUAAGAUGCCACUCUAUCUCUCCUGUAACAGCAGAAAUAAAAAAACAAAAAACCAAACACUGACAGUGCCAAGUGAUGGCUGCAGUAGUGUGCAGAUGCAUUUCAUCUAGGAGCUGAUGGCUGCAGUAAAGUGCAAAUGCAUUUCACCCAGGAGCUGAUGGCUGCAGUAAAGUACAGAUGCAUUUCACCCAGGAGCUGAUAGCUGCAGUAAAGUACAGAUGCAUUUCACCCAGGAGCUGAUGGCUGCAGUAAUGUGCAGAUGCAUUUCACCCAGGAGCUGAUGGCUGCAGUAAAGUGCAGAUGCAUUUCACCCAGGAGCUGAUAAAUGCAGUAAAGUGCAGAUGCAUUUCAUCUAGGAACUGAUGGCUGCAGUAGUGUGCAGAUGCAUUUCACCCAGGAGCUGAUGGCUGCAGUAGUGUGCAGAUGCAGUUCACCCAGAAGCCGAAGGCCAUACUGUUUGUACUAUAGAUUAGCAACAGCAAUCUUGUCCUUGCUGUGCAAAUUUUUUUCCUUCUCACAGGUUGUUUCUCCAAUUAUGCACACUUUUUUCAUUAGCUUUCAAAAAGUGGAAACUCAACCCAUCACAAUGGUCAUGUCACAAUGUAGAAACUAUUCUGGUAGUUCCAAUUUUUCAAAAGGAUGAAGUUAUAGGAGAGCAUAAGGCUUUGAUUUAAUUUCCUCAGGAUUCUCCUAGAAAAGGUCAAGACAGACUUCUUUGUUGAUACAUCUUGACAAGAUGCUUCCUGAAAAAUGAUGCAAACCUACCUAACCCAGUUACUAAGGACUUUUACCUUCUUGUAUCCCAGAGGUAUUUAUCUUGGAAAUUAAAAAAAGAAACUUCACUGAUUCCAUAUGCCCUUCAUUUUUUCCAAGUUCUUGUUAUUGAUUUCUUUAAAAAAAAAAAAAAGCUGUUUUUCCUUGUUCUUCUGUGUUCUUUUCUAUCUGGUGUUGCCAUUGUUAUUUACUUGCAGGAAAGAAACAGACUAUGAAAAUACAGACUUUCUCUUUCUCUGCCAUUUCUCUGUGGAGGCAGGUUACUGUCUCUGUCUCCCCCUCCCCCAUCUCCCAAUACACUUUCCACAUAUGUAUAAAAAAGAAGAAGAAGAAGAAGAAGAAGAAGAAGAAGAAGAAGAAGAAGAAGAAGAAGAAGAAGAAGAAGAAGAAGAAGAAAAUACAGACUUCUGGCAUCAGUGUAUCCAACAUUUUGACACUGCAAUACCAUUGUCAACUACAAACUCCACUAAGGCCACUGUAAGAUACUGUGCAACCAAGUUACAAACAAUAGCUAUCCUAGGUCUUAGUUUGGACAACUAACUGUAAAGCCUUAAAAAGUCUUCAUCAUACCUCUCCACCAAUGGAGAUAUACUUUUAUUUGAGAUAUACUUUAAAUGAGCUGAUAAUCAUCAUUAUCUUAGUAAGAGGUAUUUCCUCUCAAGGAAUCCCCAUUGGCUUAUAGUAAUUGAAUGAACCCUGUCUAUACUUCUAAGAGGCUGAGACUGGCACUAUAACCCAAGGGUAUAUAAGCUCUCUAGCUUCACUUGUUUUAGUUGACUUUUAAACAAAGCAAAAGCCCCACUAAUUCUGGUCAGAUUUAUUGGUUUAGGCCCUAAUCCUAGCAUGUUUCAGGCAGACACACUCUCAAGUCCCAACCUAGCCUAGACUACAGUAAGACCCACUCUUAAGAACAAAACAAGCAAAUAAUCACUGGUGGCAAUACACAUUGACAGUGCCAGGACUCAGGAAGCUGCCAACCUAGGCUACACAGCAAGAUUCUGUUUGAUCAGUCUCCCACUAGCUAAGCUACCUAAUAGGCUCAAAUGGUUAUGUUUUGCUUUCUGGCUUUGUAUUAAUGUUCUAAGUCUUCUAUGUCCUAGGUUGGUCUGGACCUCAUGAUCCUCAUGCCUCAGCCCAGGAUCACAGCAUGAGCAAACACCCCUGGCUUGCUGCUAGUAGUUUAGUGAUUAACUGCAAGGUUAGCUAUUCCUGGGCAAAGGCACUGCAGACAUACAUAAGUAUCUGCAGACAUACAUCUUUUUUUGAGAACUCCAAAUGGUAUUUGACAUUUUUCUUUUUACAACUAAGGUCCUUAAAAAAAAAUUACUGUGCUUGCUCAUGGACGUGGAAGUCAGAAGGCAACGUGUGGGAACUGGUUCUCUCCUUUUACCAUGUGGGUCCUGGAACUAAACUCAGGUUCUCAGGUGCUUGGUAACAGGCACCUUAAUCCACUCAGGUCCCAAGGCCAGCAUCUUACAACUUACUUUUCUCUAGAUUUACAGAACUCAAGGAUCUGUCUUUGGAUGGGAUCAAACAAUAGAUGAAUGAUUUGCUAUCUUAUUCUCUAACUGAAAAGAAAUCAUCUUUAACUGGCUCAGAAAUCACGUGUUUUUACCUAAAGAAAACUACAUGGACUGGCCUAGGAACAAAAGCUGAUUGGUACCUCAAAACUAAUCCAGUAGAGAAAAACAAAACAAGGCUCUGGGUGAUGGAGACCCCAUUCAGCAUGAAGACUUAUCACCCCUUGCUUCUCCCUUACCUCUCUAGAAAAGCUCUUUGCACCCAAAUUCUUCUCUAAAUGGUCUUUGCUGGUGGCAGUCUCCCAUCUUCUUUGGUUUCUGUCUUUCCAAAUCUUUUCCUGCCCCAAAUCACUGAGGAGCAGUGGGGAACAGCCAGACCUGGAUCAAGUAACAGCAUCAAUUAUUUCCAAAAGAAUGCACUUGUUAGUAUUGGGAACCACUGCUGCAAACACAAAUGAAAAGUACAAAGUAAGUUCUAUGUCCACAGAUAAAUAAGAGGCCAUACACAUAAUAUUGAGGAGGACAAAUUCUAUCCACUUACUUCACAGAACCAUCACGAAUUGGCACCAAAAGUGAUGAAAUUAUUACAUGAAUGUGUGUGGCCAUGUAAAAGUGGUGUAUAUAGACAGGAGCCGCAUGGUGAGAGUGGCAGAAGGGCGGGAGUAUGGGUCCCUGACAGCUGUGUGCAACGCGGGCACCUGAAUAGCUAAUAUUCCUUUACAUAGGAAAGAGGUAGUUUAUUCUCAAAGACCACAUUUACUCUUCAGCAUCUCUAUCCUCUACAGUAGCCAAACUGUAUCUUAAUUAAAAUAAAUUCCAAGCUAAGGAACACAGGAUUUGUCAUGAAUACAGUAGUAUUUAAGACAGACUCUCACUGCAUAGACUAGACAAGUGAUGGGGGAAGUCCUUCUGUGUAUAUGUUUGUCUUAUUGGUUGAUAAAUAAAGCACUGUUGGCCAAUAGGGGUAGGAGUCAAGGAGGAUUCUGGGAAAUGUAGUAAAGAGGAAUCUCCAUGUGAUCCCCAGGAAGACAGGACACAUAAGGUUGGUGUCCUCGGUAAGAUAAGUAUUUAUAAAAAUAUAUAGAUUAGUAGUUAUGGUUGACUAUUAAGACUGAGCUAGCAUAUAAGAAAUCCUAGUCAUUGGCCAAUAGCAUUGUAACUAAUAUAAGACUGUGUGUUAUUUGGAGGCCCUAACAUAGCGGUGGAAUUCAGGCAGCUGGCAGAAAGAGUUAUCAUUACAGACAAGCCUCAACACAGGGAUGUUCCUACCCCAGUCUCCCUAGGAACUGAGGCCUGCACUCCAAUCCCCAACGAUAAAAUGUUGUACCUGGAGUGAAGGAGAGAGAGCAGAAAGAAAAGGAAAGCCGUUACAGGAAUUGCAGCCAUAUACAGGUUAUUAAGUGGGACAAAAGGAAGAAUUUGAUUUUAAAUCUGAGCCAAACCGAAGAUGCCCACAUCAAUGAUCAAGAUAAUAUAGGAAACAUGAGGGAAGAACUAUGUACAUAUUAAGAUCUGCUAAGACCAUCAGAUAUCUGUUUUUAGUGCUCAAGCAAAAAUUUGAUAUAUAGG
ensembl:lncRNA